AGAGAAAGAGAGAGAGAGAGAGAGAGAGGCUCUUUGCUAUUUUUGUAAAGUUCAUGUUACUAAUUUUCUUUUGUUUCUGUUUUUUCAAUUCAUAACUUACUAGAUUAUCUUUUGGUUUUCUGGGUUUUGUUCCUGUUGUUUUUUCUUUCUUUUUUAUUUUUGGGUUUUUUCCCUUCUCCUUGUCUCUCUUUCUCUCUCAAAAUCAAUUGGGGGCUGGCACAUAAAAGCAUAUUAGGGUUUAUCAAUUGCAGAUCAAAGCCCA
rnacentral:misc_RNA from 1 species